rnacentral:rRNA from 1 species
UUGAGUUUGAUCCUGGCUCAGGACGAACGCUGGCGGCGUGCCUAAUACAUGCAAGUCGAGCGAAUUUUUAGGAGCUUGCUCCUGAAAAUUAGCGGCGGACGGGUGAGUAACACGUGGGCAACCUGCCUGUAAGACUGGGAUAACUUCGGGAAACCGGAGCUAAUACCGGAUAAUCCUUUUCCUCACAUGAGGGAAGGCUGAAAGACGGUUUCGGCUGUCACUUACAGAUGGGCCCGCGGCGCAUUAGCUAGUUGGUGAGGUAACGGCUCACCAAGGCGACGAUGCGUAGCCGACCUGAGAGGGUGAUCGGCCACACUGGGACUGAGACACGGCCCAGACUCCUACGGGAGGCAGCAGUAGGGAAUCUUCCGCAAUGGACGAAAGUCUGACGGAGCAACGCCGCGUGAACGAUGAAGGCCUUCGGGUCGUAAAGUUCUGUUGUUAGGGAAGAACAAGUACCGGAGUAACUGCCGGUACCUUGACGGUACCUAACCAGAAAGCCACGGCUAACUACGUGCCAGCAGCCGCGGUAAUACGUAGGUGGCAAGCGUUGUCCGGAAUUAUUGGGCGUAAAGCGCGCGCAGGCGGUCCUUUAAGUCUGAUGUGAAAGCCCACGGCUCAACCGUGGAGGGUCAUUGGAAACUGGGGGACUUGAGUACAGAAGAGGAAAGUGGAAUUCCACGUGUAGCGGUGAAAUGCGUAGAGAUGUGGAGGAAC